AACGAACGCUGGCGGCAUGCCUAACACAUGCAAGUCGAACGAGACCUUCGGGUCUAGUGGCGCACGGGUGCGUAACGCGUGGGAACCUGCCCUUAGGUUCGGAAUAACUCCCCGAAAGGGGUGCUAAUACCGGAUAAUGUCUUCGGACCAAAGAUUUAUCGCCUUUGGAUGGGCCCGCGUUGGAUUAGCUAGUUGGUAGGGUAAAAGCCUACCAAGGCGACGAUCCAUAGCUGGUCUGAGAGGAUGAUCAGCCACACUGGGACUGAGACACGGCCCAGACUCCUACGGGAGGGAGCAGUGGGGAAUAUUGGAAAAUGGGCGAAAGCAUGAUCCAGCAAUGCCGCGUGAGUGAUGAAGGCCUUAGGGUUGUAAAGCUCUUUUACCCGGGAUGAUAAUGACAGUACCGGGAGAAUAAGCUCCGGCUAACUCCGUG
rnacentral:rRNA from 1 species